rnacentral:rRNA from 1 species
CCGGAGGGAAACCGAGUCUUAACCGGGCGUUAAGUUGCAGGGUAUAGACCCGAAACCCGGUGAUCUAGCCAUGGGCAGGUUGAAGGUUGGGUAACACUAACUGGAGGACCGAACCGACUAAUGUUGAAAAAUUAGCGGAUGACCUGUGGCUGGGGGUGAAAGGCCAAUCAAACCGGGAGAUAGCUGGUUCUCCCCGAAAGCUAUUUAGGUAGCGCCUCGUGAAUUCAUCUCCGGGGGUAGAGCACUGUUUCGGCUAGGGGGCCAUCCCGGCUUACCAACCCGAUGCAAACUGCGAAUACCGGAGAAUGUUAUCACGGGAGACACACGGCGGGUGCUAACGUCCGUCGUGAAGAGGGAAACAACCCAGACCGCCAGCUAAGGUCCCAAAGUCAUGGUUAAGUGGGAAACGAUGUGGGAAGGCCCAGACAGCCAGGAUGUUGGCUUAGAAGCAGCCAUCAUUUAAAGAAAGCGUAAUAGCUCACUGGUCGAGUCGGCCUGCGCGGAAGAUGUAACGGGGCUAAACCAUGCACCGAAGCUGCGGCAGCGACACUGUGUGUUGUUGGGUAGGGGAGCGUUCUGUAAGCCUGUGAAGGUGUGUCGUGAGGCAUGCUGGAGGUAUCAGAAGUGCGAAUGCUGACAUAAGUAACGAUAAAGCGGGUGAAAAGCCCGCUCGCCGGAAGACCAAGGGUUCCUGUCCAACGUUAAUCGGGGCAGGGUGAGUCGACCCCUAAGGCGAGGCCGAAAGGCGUAGUCGAUGGGAAACGGGUUAAUAUUCCCGUACUUGGUGUUACUGCGAAGGGGGGACGGAGAAGGCUAUGUUGGCCGGG